rnacentral:rRNA from 1 species
AUGGUUUUUCCUGCUUCUGCCCGGUCUGGACGUCGCCGCCGAGGUCGCUCUCCUGGGAUUCAGGCGGCCGUUACUGCGCGUGUGCGCCGUGCCGGCAUGCGUCUUCCUGCCGCGGACUGUUCGUCGGUGACGGCAGACGCUGUUGUGUGUGGUCAGUUGCCUGUGGUUCGUUCAGGGCGGCGUGCCCGCUCUGCGGCUCGCCGGCCGCUUCGUUCUUGCCUGCCUGGUGGGUUUACUUGUCCUUGUGUACUUGCAGUAGAGUGCGGUCAUCUUAUUGGGUUAUUUGAUUUCGUAGGUGGCCAACGUUUGGACUCGGAUCGGUUUCUUAGUGAAGAUCUUGAUAGCCGCCGUCGAGAGAUUUCAUUAGGGAAGCGGCCUGUUGAUUGCACUGUUGGUUCGACCAUUAUUGCUGGUUCUUCUUCUGCAUCUGAUGGCUUUGAGUCUGCUGCUCGGCAAUCCAUUGCGCGAACUGUGUAA